rnacentral:rRNA from 1 species
UACGUAGGGGGCUAGCGUUGUCCGGAAUCAUUGGGCGUAAAGCGCGUGUAGGCGGCCCGAUAAGUCCGCUGUGAAAGUCCAGGGCUCAACCCUGGGAUGCCGGUGGAUACUGUCGGGCUCGAGUCCGGAAGAGGCGAGUGGAAUUCCUGGUGUAGCGGUGAAAUGCGCAGAUAUCAGGAGGAACACCAAUGGCGAAGGCAGCUCGCUGGGACGUGACUGACGCUGAGACGCGAAAGCGUGGGGAGCGAACAGG